CAUUACCGAAGUCAUAGAGUUUGAGACUGCGUCUUCAAUGGCGUGUGCUCGGCUCUUACUCUUCCCUAUCCACACCUUUGUGCACCAUGGGAUGAAAUAAAAGUCCCCUUUUUUAUAUUAAUACCUAGUUAUAUGCAUGUCCUUAUAUACUCUAAGGAGUUAAUACAACUUUCAACAACGGAUCUCUUGGCUUUCGCAUCGAUGAAGAACGCAGCGAAUGUGCGAGACGUAAUGUGAAUUGCAGAAUUCAGUGAAUCAUCGAAUCUUUGAACGCAUCUUGCGCUCCUUGGCAUUCCGAGGAGCAUGCCUGUUUGAGUGUCGUGAUACUGUCAAUUUCACUCUUUUUGUUUGAAAUUGGACUUGAAUGCUGUCGUGGAGUGCCUUACGACUCAUUCUAAAUGCAUUAGCGAUCUGCCUUUGAUCACACAAUGUGAUAAUCCAAAAGCAUUGUUUGUAUUCAAGUGGAGAUGGCUUCUAACUGUCGAAAGACAAAGUGAAUGUCAUUUGACCUCAAAUCAGGUAGGACUACCCGCUGAACUUAAGCAUAUCAAUA
rnacentral:rRNA from 1 species